rnacentral:rRNA from 1 species
AGGCAGCAGUGGGGAAUAUUGGACAAUGGGCGCAAGCCUGAUCCAGCAAUACCGCGUGAGUGAUGAAGGUCUUCGGAUUGUAAAGCUCUUUUAGUAGGGAAGAUAAUGACGGUACCUACAGAAAAAGCACCGGCAAACUUCGUGCCAGCAGCCGCGGUAAUACGAAGGGUGCUAGCGUUGUUCGGAAUUAUUGGGCGUAAAGCGUACGUAGGCGGCUUUGUAAGUCGGUUGUGAAAGCCCUGAGCUCAACUCGGGAAUUGCAAUCGAAACUGCUUCGCUUGAGUUUGGUGGGGGAUAGUGGAAUUCCUAGUGUAGGGGUGAAAUCCGUAGAUAUUAGGAGGAAUAUCGGUGGCGAAGGCGACUAUCUAUGCCAAUACUGACGCUAAGGUACGAAAGCGUGGGGAGCAAACAGGAUUAGAUACCCUGGUAGUCCACGCUGUAAACGAUGUGUGCUGGAUGUUGGGCGACCUAGUCGCUCAGUGUCGUAGCUAACGCGAUAAGCACACCGCCUGGGGAGUACGGCCGCAAGGUUGAAACUCAAAAGAAUUGACGG